rnacentral:rRNA from 1 species
UACGUAGGUGGCAAGCGUUGUCCGGAUUUACUGGGCGUAAAGAGCGCGCAGGCGGUCGUUCAAGUCGCGUGUGAAAGCCCCCGGCUCAACUGGGGAGGGUCACGCGAUACUGAUCGACUCGAAGGCAGGAGAGGGUAGUGGAAUUCCCGGUGUAGUGGUGAAAUGCGUAGAUAUCGGGAGGAACACCAGUGGCGAAGGCGGCUUCCUGGACCAGAACUGACGAUCAGGCACGAAAGCGUGGGGAGCAAACAGG